CACGUAGGCGGAUUUGUUAGUCAGGGGUGAAAUCCCGAGGCUCAACCUCGGAACUGCCUUUGAUACUGCAAAUCUCGAGUCCGGAAGAGGUGAGUGGAAUUCCUAGUGUAGAGGUGAAAUUCGUAGAUAUUAGGAAGAACACCAGUGGCGAAGGCGGCUCACUGGUCCGGUACUGACGCUGAGGUGCGAAAGCGUGGGGAGCAAACA
rnacentral:rRNA from 1 species